GACGAACGCUGGCGGCGUGCUUAACACAUGCAAGUCGAGCGGUAAGGCCCUUUCGGGGGUACACGAGCGGCGAACGGGUGAGUAACACGUGGGUGACCUGCCCUUAGCUCUGGGAUAAGCCUGGGAAACUGGGUCUAAUACCGGAUAUGACUCCAUGACGCAUGUUGUGGGGUGGAAAGCCUUGUGCGGCUAGGGAUGGGCCCGCGGCCUAUCAGCUUGUGGUGGGGUGAUGGCCUACCAAGGCGACGACGGGUAGCCGGCCUGAGAGGGCGACCGGCCACACUGGGACUGAGACACGGCCCAGACUCCUACGGGAGGCAGCAGUGGGGAAUCUUGCGCAAUGGGCGAAAGCCUGACGCAGCGACGCCGCGUGAGGGAUGACGGCCU
rnacentral:rRNA from 1 species